rnacentral:rRNA from 1 species
GAUGAACGCUAGCGGCAGGCCUAACACAUGCAAGUCGAGGGAGGAGCUUUCGGGCUUCGACCGGCGUACGGGUGCGUAACGCGUAUACAAUCUGCCUUUCACAUAGGGAUAGCCCGAAGAAAUUUGGAUUAAUACCUAAUGGUAUAUAGGAGUGGCAUCACAUUUAUAUUAAAGCUGAGGCGGUGAAAGAUGAGUAUGCGUUCUAUUAGCUAGUUGGAGAGGUAACGGCUCCCCAAGGCGACGAUAGAUAGGGGUUCUGGGAGGGAUAUCCCCCACACUGGUACUGAGAUACGGACCAGACUCCUACGGGAGGCAGCAGUGAGGAAUAUUGGACAAUGGUCGGAAGACUGAUCCAGCCAUGCCGCGUGCAGGAAGACGGCCUUAUGGGUUGUAAACUGCUUUUGCAGGGGAAGAAUAAGGACUACGAGUAGUUUGAUGACGGUACUCUGCGAAUAAGCAUCGGCUAACUCCGUG